ACGGACUAAAAUCCGUUGGCUUUAAUAGACCUUGAGGGUUCAAGUCCCUCUACCCCCA
rnacentral:tRNA from 1 species